GGAUAACUUAGGGAAACGUGAAGCCACUCUGGUCCGAUUGUUUUUGCUCACUUGUUCUCCAGGAGGUGUAAUGUCACUGCAAGACAGAAAGAGAAUGGGUUGAAUGAAGCAAGCUGUGGCGAUCAAUUCUUUGUUUCUAUCAGCAACAUGAUGAAUAUGAAAAUGUGCACUUAAGAGACUGAAUGAGUUCAAAUUUUUCCUUGCUUGGAGAAAAAAUUGGUACAUUAAGUUUUACAAACUUGUCAACUGAAUGUUGAAAACUAUCUUUGUAUAUUAUUUUUUAAAAAAAGAAUCUAUUAAACAUUAAGAUUUACAAUAUUUGUCUCUUUCCUUGACAUUUAUAUGAAGGGACAAAUGUAAUUUUAAAGCCUUAUAAACGGUCCCUAUUAUUUAUAAUUUUAACUCUGUAUUUCCCCAUAAAAUAUUUUAUGGUAAAACACAAGAUUAACAAAGAAAGAUUUAUAUGUUGCUGACAGGAAACAGUUUAAGAAAUGAGGUAAAAGAUUUUGGAGAUGCAAGAUAAAUACAUGCUUUGUUCCUUUUUCUUCUGUUUCUUUAUUUUUCUGUUGAGGUCUUUCCCUUUUAUUCUCAGAUCAUAUAGCCAGUAAGUGUCUGAGGCCAGAUUUGAACUCAGAAAGAUGAGUUUUCCUGAGAACAACAUGAUUCACAAGGAAAUAGGUUAAAAAACAUAUAUAUAUACAUUUAUAACCAAAAAAAAAGUUAUUUUACAUUUAACUGAGGAAAAGAAAAAGAAAAAAAAAAAGAAAUGACAUAAAAGCCAUCACAUUUCCCUGCAAGUUUAGUGGGGAAGAAAAGAGAAUAAGGAGAUGUGGCAAGAAUAAGAAAUCAGUAGAGGGGCAUCAACAAGUUAGGUUCUGGACCUUGGUGAUCAAAAUGUGGCUGUCACAAUCCGUUCUACUUUGUUGCAAUAGUAAUUAGAAGUUAUAAAAUUGUGGAAAGUUAAAUGAUCUUAAAGAAUCAAUUACUCAUUCAGAAUAUAGUUACAAUCAAUUUAUCCACUUUUUUUUGAGCAAUAACUAUGUAGUCCCGUGAACUGGACACUUAAAAGAACAUCCAAAAUAAAUCCAGAAAGCUUCUACCCUAAAAAAGCUUUCCAUUUACAGAGGAAGAUAAAACACAGAAAGAUUCUUAUUAAGUAUGUAAUAAAAAGUACAUAUCUACAAUAAAAGUAAAUGUAAGAUGGUAAAUGGUGAUUGGAUGCAGAACAAAGAUAACUACCUAUCUUUAUCUCUUUAUCUAGCUCAUCUAACUCCAUCUGUAUCUCUAAAGCUAGAAAGGAUUUGUUCAUUCAGAAAAUCUUUAUUAAGUAUUUCAUAUAAAUAAUGAAUGUAUUGUUCCAAGCACUGGGAAUGUAGGAGGGAGAGGUUAACUAUGUUAGACCCAUCCAUUAGGUCCUCUCUUAUUAAUAAUUAUUUGAGUUCUAUAAAACAUAAGAGAAAUACUAUAAUGAUAACUCAAAUUUCCAUAACAUAUACAAUAUAUACUUUCUUCACUACAAUUCCAUGAAAUAAACAGUACAACAUUAAUAGCCACAUGUUAUGAAUGAGUAAAUAAAGACUUGCCCAGAUAGUUCUAGUAAACAUAAAUCAGGAUUUAAACCCAAGUUGCUCUUGACUCCAAGUGUACUAUUUUUUUCCUAUUAUGUACAUAUCCCAGAAUUCUGACCAUUGAAUCCCCAGUGUUUUAUCAUUUCCAAGUAAAAAGAAACAACAACAAAGUAAACAAAAUGCAAGUGUGUUUGUUGUCCAGAGUGAUUAGGGCACAAGGCAAACAAAUUUAUUGAAUGUUCUCAUAUGAAUUCAGGUCUUCUGAAUCCAAAGCCAGUAUUUUUUCUCUUCCACUAUGACAUCUGUCCAGAUGAAAUCAUGUGAUUUCAGUCUUCUUAAUUUAAUAGUACAAAGGGAAAGACACAGCACUACUAAUUGAGAGAUUCUCUGGGCCAUAGUGUUGAAUUUAAUAAGUAGAAAAGUAAAUAAGUUGUCUUCUGGUUUGAUUUUUCAAGAAAGUACCCAUAAUUAAACUUAUUCCAGGAAACAUUGCCCUGUUAAUACUCAAGACAGUCUUUAAUGGUGUAAUGAAUUUCACCUAUUAAUUAUUAUAUAAAGAUCACUUUAAGAGAGAUGCUGAUAAUUACAAAUGUUAGCAAUCCUGAAUGGUUGAUGGAGAUAUACCACUUAACUCACUCUAAACCACUUCAAUUAAAAUCUCUCAUUACCUGCCAUAUGCAUAUUCCUUAAGGGCGUAUGAACUAUGUCAGUGACAUUUUGGAAGUUCAGUAGCAAAUUAACUCAGGUUGGGGAGCUUUGGAGGAAUUUUCUGAGGACAGAUAAAACCACAAGUCCUUCAUCUUUAUUCUCAGUCUUUAGAUGCAGGAUUGAACAGGAUGAAAGCAGAAUCUUGUGACCGUCUUCUUGGCAUACCACCAAGAGUGACCCUGGCUAGUUUUACUCUACCCCCUCGUCCCUCCUACAAUUCUCUGUAUACACCAAUCAUUGAGCCAGCACAGAAUAGUGGGAAGGGCCAUUUCCCAAGCAUAUGCCCAUACAGUAUUGUCCAAUUGGUAAUUAGCCUCAAGCGCUCAGCAGUCCUGACCUCAGUACAUUGACUAAAUAAUUUCAGCCCUCUACAUACAAGGGUUAAACUUCUUCAUAAUCAAAUUUGUUCAGAGAAUCUUGUAAUAUUGUAGGUAUUUCCCAGCUACUUCUUUGCGAAAGCUUUUAGACAAAUUACACCACCUCCUAACAACUCAGUCGAUCAAUAAUCAAUAAGCAUUUAUAAAGUGCCAAGUAAAUUCUAGGAACUGUGCUAGGUUCAGGAAACACAACAUUAAAAAAAAGUUUCUUAUAUCAAGAAACAAAUUCUAGAAAAUGAAAUGCUUAUGUCAAAAAUAAGCAGUUAUUAAGCACCUACCAUGUGCAAGGCUCAUACUAAGCCCUGGGGAUACAGAAACAAGCAAAAAGAAAGGUAGUGUUACUUUAUGAGUUGCUCAUGGACUUGCUUUAGGUCAUGUAGAUCAUGAAGUAGAGGAGCUGAAAUUUGAAUCCAAUGCUCUCUCCUAGCUUCUUACUCCUCUCCCCCCCAAUAAGAAUCAGAAUGAAUCAGAAUCAGAACUCAUCUGAUUUUAAUAGGAAAAGAUAAUACAUAAAAAGGAGCUGAAAAGUAGGGACUGAAAGCAUGGUCACACUGCUGAGUCUGAUAUGGAGCCAAGACAGGAACGAAGUGGCAGUCUUAGACCCUUUCUUAAAAUUAAGAGUUGGGCAAGACCUUUCUAGUGAGAGAAAACAGUUAGAAAGAGAUGUUCAAGAGAAGAUAAAUGAGACCUGGUGGUAAAGUCAGAGUCAGAAGCAAAGCCCAGAGACGAAGUGAUUUAGUAAAGGAUAGAAAAUGACUUUCAAUGGAUGGAAGUUAUUAAUAGGUAAGGAAAUCAGGAAAGGUUUCAUUUAAAAGUGUGACUUGAAGGAAACUAGGCAUUUUAAGAGGUGAAAAUUGAGAAAGCAGUAUAUUCCACACAUAGUAGAUAGGCAGUGCAAAUUCAUGAAGAUAGGAGAUAGGAUACUGAACAUGAAGAACAGUAAGAAAACCACUUUAGCUGGACUACAGUGUACAUAAAUGUGCAUAAUGUGAAACAAAGCUGGAAAGACAGACAAGGUCUAAGUCCAUCAAAGGCUUUAAAUGCCAAAUGCAAAAGUGUCCAUUUUCAAUCUUAGAAGGUAUCCUAGAAGCCUAGGGAAGAGACAGGUCAAGGUAAAAGGACUGGGGUUUCACCUCAGGUUCUCUGACAAGCGAAUUCUACGUCAAUCAAAUCAAGCUG